rnacentral:rRNA from 1 species
AUUGAACGCUGGCGGCAUGCCUAACACAUGCAAGUCGAACGGCAGCGCGGGGGCAACCCUGGCGGCGAGUGGCGGACGGGUGAGGAAUGCAUAGGAAUCUGCCCGGUUGUGGGGGAUAACGUAGGGAAACUUACGCUAAUACCGCAUACGACCUUUGGGUGAAAGUGGGGGACCUUCGGGCCUCACGCGAUCGGAUGAGCCUAUGCCCGAUUAGCUAGUUGGCGGGGUAAGAGCCCACCAAGGCGACGAUCGGUAGCUGGUCUGAGAGGAUGAUCAGCCACACUGGGACUGAGACACGGCCCAGACUCCUACGGGAGGCAGCAGUGGGGAAUAUUGGACAAUGGGCGCAAGCCUGAUCCAGCAAUGCCGCGUGUGUGAAGAAGGCCUUCGGGUUGUAAAGCACUUUUGUUCGGGAAGAAAUCCGUGAGGCUAAUAUCCUUACGGGAUGACGGUACCGAAAGAAUAAGCACCGGCUAACUUCGUGCCAGCCGCCGCAGUAAGAC